rnacentral:rRNA from 1 species
CCCUUAGAUGUCCGGGGCUGCACGCGCGCUACACUGAUGCAUUCAACGAGUCUAAAACCUGCUCUGAUAGGGGUGGGUAAUCUUUUGAAUGUGCAUCGUGAUUGGGAUAGAUGAUUGCAAUUUUUCAUCUUCAACGAGGAAUGCCUAGUAAACGCAAGUCAUCAGCUUGCAUUGAUUACGUCCCUGCCCUUUGUACACACCGCCCGUCGCUCCUACCGAUUGAAUGAUCCGAUGAAUAUCAUGGAUUGAGGAUGCAAGUAGGUUAGCCUAUCUUCAUCUUCGAGAAGUGAAGUAAAUCUUAUCAUUUAGAGGAAGGAGAAGUCGUAACA